CAAAAAAACAGAUCGAGUGAGUUGGUGUUCUGGCGAGGGAACGAGAUCCCCGAACUGGGCACCAGCAUGAGUAGACGGGAACUGUUCUCAGUGUGUGGGAAGCUGGUGGGACACUACCCGAUUGCAGGAUGGCUCUGGACAGCAUGUAGCUUCAU